rnacentral:sRNA from 1 species
UCCUGACAAUAGGACGGGAUCUAAUCCCCGGG